AGGUGGAAUCUGAAGUCAUCAUUGGAGAUACUUGCCUCUUCUGCUCUUGGGCUGACGAGUGGAUCUUCUUCAAACUAAAUGGGGGUGAAAGUGGUGGAGAAGCCUAGUCCACUUGACAAGCUGUCUCACCUAUCAAACCCCUGCUCGCGGCAGGAGCUUGAACAAAUAUCACUGAGUCAGCCCCUACUCCAAAUAAAUGAUGAAACGAUCAUGUACCAUGUGGCUCUACUAUCCCUGCCCCAGACGCCAUUGCCCCGCGCUGGGCUGACGCGGUUUCUGUCCGCACAGCCUCCCUGCCUUUGGGGAGCCGUCCUCUCCUCUUCUGUGUGGCUCUGGGGAGGCUGAGUCCUAGGACCUACCCAUCUGGCUGCACACGCAGCAUAUGUA
ensembl:lncRNA